GUUGAUAUGUGGUUUGUCAGACAGCAAUAGGUAAUGCCAAGCAAAUACUGAGAAGUGAAAACUGCCACCUGUAGUAACUUCACCUAUUACAAUGCUGUCCAAAAUGACAGAAAGCCAUAAUUACCCUAACCAUGGAAUCGAUGUUGUCUAUGUGCACACAUCUCAUUUACGAGAUUGUGUACUGUUUUUCGUAAAGGAUAUUUGCUGGGUAGUUACAAGAGUAUGAAGGCACGUCCAAAAGCAGCAUGAAACAAUUGUCCACUGAAACUUAAUUCAUAUCUACCUUAUGCCACAGCUGAGCUGUGAGCGAUUAUUAUGAGACAGUUGUUUCUCAUAUGAGUAGAUUUUUAAAAGGUUAAAGAUGUCAUCUUUUCAUUAUGCAGGAACUGUACCGAAAGAAAGUGCUGUAAAAUGUUAAAACCUCUUGCUUCCAUGCUACUGUUUCAUUUUCUGUACUACGUUUUGUGUCUAUGUACAUGCUUUGCAAAUCCUAUGAUC
rnacentral:lncRNA from 1 species